rnacentral:rRNA from 1 species
UACGUAGGGCGCAAGCGUUGUCCGGAAUUAUUGGGCGUAAAGAGCUCGUAGGCGGCCUGUUGCGUCCGCUGUGAAAACUCGAGGCUUAACCCCGAGCCUGCAGUGAUACGGGCAGGCUAGAGGUAGGUAGGGGAGAAUGGAAUUCCCGGUGUAGCGGUGAAAUGCGCAGAUAUCGGGAGGAACACCGGUGGCGAAGGCGGCGACCUGGGUAGAUACUGACGCUGAGGCGCGAAAGCGUGGGGAGCAAACAGGG